rnacentral:rRNA from 1 species
CUAUUGGAAACGAUAGCUAAUACCGCAUAAGAGUAGAUGUUGCAUGACAUUUACUUAAAAGGUGCAAUUGCAUCACUACCAGAUGGACCUGCGUUGUAUUAGCUAGUUGGUGGGGUAACGGCUCACCAAGGCGACGAUACAUAGCCGACCUGAGAGGGUGAUCGGCCACACUGGGACUGAGACACGGCCCAGACUCCUACGGGAGGCAGCAGUAGGGAAUCUUCGGCAAUGGACGGAAGUCUGACCGAGCAACGCCGCGUGAGUGAAGAAGGUUUUCGGAUCGUAAAGCUCUGUUGUAAGAGAAGAACGAGUGUGAGAGUGGAAAGUUCACACUGUGACGGUAUCUUACCAGAAAGGGACGGCUAACUACGUGCCAGCAGCCGCGGUAAUACGUAGGUCCCGAGCGUUGUCCGGAUUUAUUGGGCGUAAAGCGAGCGCAGGCGGUUAGAUAAGUCUGAAGUUAAAGGCUGUGGCUUAACCAUAGUACGCUUUGGAAACUGUUUAACUUGAGUGCAAGAGGGGAGAGUGGAAUUCCAUGUGUAGCGGUGAAAUGCGUAGAUAUAUGGAGGAACA